GACGAACGCUGGCGGCGUGCUUAACACAUGCAAGUCGAACGCUGAAGCUUGGUGCUUGCACUGGGUGGAUGAGUGGCGAACGGGUGAGUAAUACGUGAGUAACCUGCCCUUGACUCUGGGAUAAGCCUGGGAAACUGGGUCUAAUACUGGAUACGACAUGUCACCGCAUGGUGGUGUGUGGAAAGGGUUUUACUGGUUCUGGAUGGGCUCACGGCCUAUCAGCUUGUUGGUGGGGUAAUGGCUCACCAAGGCGACGACGGGUAGCCGGCCUGAGAGGGUGACCGGCCACACUGGGACUGAGACACGGCCCAGACUCCUACGGGAGGCAGCAGUGGGGAAUAUUGCACAAUGGGCGGAAGCCUGAUGCAGCGACGCCGCGUGAGGGAUGACGGCCUUCGGGUUGUAAACCUCUUUCAGCACGGAAGAAGCGAAAGUGACGGUACGUGCAGAAGAAGCGCCGGCUAACUACGUG
rnacentral:rRNA from 1 species